rnacentral:miRNA from 1 species
GAGCGGCUGUUGAACUAGUACC